GACGAACGCUGGCGGCGUGCUUAACACAUGCAAGUCGAACGGAAAGGCCCUGCUUGCAGGGUACUCGAGUGGCGAACGGGCGAGUAACACGUGGGUGAUCUGCCCUGCACUUCGGGAUAAGCCUGGGAAACUGGGUCUAAUACCGGAUAGGAGCCAUUUUUAGUGUGAUGGUUGGAAAGUUUUUUCGGUGUAGGAUGAGCUCGCGGCCUAUCAGCUUGUUGGUGGGGUAAUGGCCUACCAAGGCGGCGACGGGUAGCCGGCCUGAGAGGGUGGACGGCCACAUUGGGACUGAGAUACGGCCCAGACGCCUACGGGAGGCAGCAGUGGGGAAUAUUGCACAAUGGGCGCAAGCCUGAUGCAGCGACGCCGCGUGGGGGAUGACGGCCUUCGGGUUGUAAACUCCUUUCGCUAGGGACGAAGCUUUUUGUGACGGUACCUAGAUAAGAAGCACCGGCUAACUACGUG
rnacentral:rRNA from 1 species